GGCGCUGUGGCUUAGUUGGUUUAAGCGACUGUCUAGUAAACAGUAGAUCCUGAGUUUUUAUCUCAUCAGUGCCU